rnacentral:rRNA from 1 species
CUAAGGCUCCAGAGGAAGCCACGGCUAACUCUGUGCCAGCAGCCGCGGUAAUACAGAGGCGGCAAGCGUUGCUCGGAAUUAUUGGGCGUAAAGAGCACGUAGGCGGCCUUGCAAGUCAGUUGUGAAAGCCUUCCGCUUAACGGAAGAAUGCCAGCUGAUACUACUGGGCUUGAGUACGGGAGGGGAGAGUGGAACUUCUGGUGGAGCGGUGAAAUGCGUAGAUAUCAGAAGGAACGCCGGCGGCGAAAGCGACUCUCUGGCCCGAAACUGACGCUGAGUGUGCGAAAGCUAGGGGAGCAAACGGGAUUAGAUACCCCGGUAGUCCUAGCCGUAAA